rnacentral:pre_miRNA from 1 species
UGGAGAGGUAGACAUGGUGUGAUAUUGAUCCGGCUCAUCUCCCUUUUUGUAGAUAAAAAAGAUCUGAGCCGAGCCGAACCAAUAUCACUCUUGUGUUCUUCUUC